rnacentral:lncRNA from 1 species
AACUAUAAACUGCUUGUUCCUGUCACCAGGGAAAUAGUCAUGCAAAAGACUGAUUCACUGAGGCUUACCUGUUAAAUGCUCAUAGAACAAGCCCACUGUGGUACUUUGCAUCAUAAAACUUAUGAAGAAGUAAAUGCAUCCACACAAUAAUGAGCCAUUAUGGCUCAUUAGAGGUUCAGCUUGCAAAGUCCAAAGUGUACAAACAGAGGCAUUUAGGACAAAUCUGAACUGAGCACUGUACCCUGCCCUCUGCCUGAACCAGCCCUUUACACAUAUCUGGUAAAUGAUUUAUAAACCUAAAGAUAACAAAGUAUAAAACCUCUUUUUCUCCUUCUAUCGCUCUCUUCACUUUACAAAGGAAACCCUUUCUGAAUAAUUUGCCAUGUCUCUGAAAAUGUUUCAAAUUUUGGUGUCUGUUCUGCUGUUUACAGCUUCUGUUUCAAGUGUCCUUGGAGCACCCUUUCUGACAGAAGAAUCAGCAAAUCAAUUCAUACGGCUCAAACGACACAUCCUAUAUUCUCCGAGCUACUGGGACUCAAGCAGCAGCCAGAACACGUGGGGAUACAGACAUGUGGCUGAACAGGUUAGUGAAUCGUGGGCAGCCUUGAAAGAAACAGCACAAUACUACAUGGACUUGGACCCUUUUGCCUUCGAUCCCUCGACAGCCGUGUUCGAUGGGGUUUCUGAGCAGAGCAUUUCAUAGACUCGGAGCCUGUGUGUACCAAAAAACAAUUUAUUCCAUCUUUUUUAGCAACAAGAUCAGAUCCUACAUGGAGCUACUACAGCAGUCUGGGACUCACCUCCAGCAACAAGCUAUUAAAUCCUACACAUCUUGUAUCUGGCCAUGUUAGGAUAUGGCAUGUUAUGGAUUUGCCAUUAUGUAUUGAUAAGAUGACUUUAUCUCAUCCCACUUGGGUCUAAACCCAAAAUUAAUACAGUAAUUCUCUGCAUAAAUACUGCAUAUUUUAUAUUCAUAUGCAGAACUGAGACAUUGGUCAUGACAAAUUGAAUAAAAAGUUGAAGAAAACCA